rnacentral:rRNA from 1 species
AUUGAACGCUGGCGGCAUGCUUUACACAUGCAAGUCGAACGGUAACAGGUUAAGCUGACGAGUGGCGAACGGGUGAGUAAUGCAUCGGAACGUGCCCGAUCGUGGGGGAUAACGCAGCGAAAGCUGCGCUAAUACCGCAUACGAUCUGAGGAUGAAAGCGGGGGACCGUAAGGCCUCGCGCGAUCGGAGCGGCCGAUGUCAGAUUAGGUAGUUGGUGGGGUAAAGGCCCACCAAGCCGACGAUCUGUAGCUGGUCUGAGAGGACGACAAGCCACACUGGGACUGAGACCCGGCCCAGACUCCUACGGGAGGCAGCAGUGGGGAAUGUUGGACAAUGGGCGAAAGCCUGAUCCAGCAAUGCCGCGUGCAGGAAGAAGGCCUUCGGGUUGUAAACUGCUUUUGUACGGAGCGAAAAGGUCCUUUCUAAUACAAGGGGCUCAUGACGGUACCGUAAGAAUAAGCACCGGCUAACUACGUGCCAGCCGCCGCCGUAA